GGAGGGGUACCCAAGCGGCCAAAGGGGGCGGGCUGUAAACCCGCUGGCUUAGCCUUCGGGGGUUCGAAUCCUCCCCCCUCCA
rnacentral:tRNA from 1 species